ACACAUCUUUGAGUCUCAACAGCAGCAGAGCAGGAGCAGCAAGGAGCAGCAAACAUGCUGCUGCUGGCCGCUCUAUUGGUCACAGCUGCAUGGUUUUAUGGAUUUGUGUGGGAAAUUCCCAUACAGAGCCCUGUAUCCAUCACCAAGUCACAAGGAAGUAUACGUCUGCACUGUCAUUUUAAAGACUUCUCUGGCAAUUUUGAUAAGACUGCCAUACACUGGUAUCAACAAAAGGAGAAUAAAACUCUGGCGAGGAUGAUCUACAUUACAUCAGGAGCAAGUGUAGUAGAUGAGAGCUUCCAAAGGCACAGAUACAUGAUUCAAACUAUUUCUAGACAGAAACUCUGCAUUCUUACAGUACGAAGAGUACUUCUAGACGACGCUGCUACCUACCACUGCGCCUACUGGGCCCCACACUAUGGCAGAAGCCAAACAAUCACGCCAACCAAUACUCCUCCAGCAGCUCAACCACAAACCACGUGAAAGAUCCCAACUCACUUCCCCAGAGUGGAGGAGUCUCCUGAACACAUGGGUGGGAUUUCACCACUGCUGACCAGGACCUUGCACAUGUCAGCUGGCAAAAGAAAGGGAUUUCAAGCAAGCAAGCGCCAAGGGUGAAGCAAACAGUGAAAGUCUGAAAUAUAACCCAAGCUCAGCACUUCAGGUGCUCUUCCUCUUUCCUCAAGCAUAGCCAUGAAUUGUUUGUAAUGGUUCAGCUUGGAUACUAGGAAGAAUUUCAUCUCAGAAAGAGUGGCCAUAUGUUGGAACACGCUGCUCAGGGAAGUGGUGGACUCCCCAUCCCUGGAGGCAUUCAAGAAAAGGGUGGAUGUGGCACAUAGGGAUGUGGUUUGUCAACAGGCUUGACGGUUGACUAGAUGACCAUAGCAGUCUUUUCCAACCAUAAUGUUCUAUGAUUCUGUGAUUUCUUCAGUAGAAAGCAGUGCUUUUCCACGCUGUUGCUCCUGGAGAUGACUCAGCAUGUUGCCCUGAAGAUUUUCAAAGCCUUUUGCUUGAUAAGAAAUCAAAGAGAGAUCUUUAGCUUGAACGGUCCUAAGAUUUUCAGGGAAGAAAAAUGUCUUAUUUUGGUUUAGAAGCCAGCAACUGAGGGAGAGGGGAGAUUUGCUAUUUAUUCCUCCGGAGAUCUGGAGAUGAGCAUUUUUCUUCUUUUUUGAGCUCUGUCAGUCUCCUUCCCCAUUCCCAUCCUUGCUCUCAUUUUCUAUGUUUCACUCCCAGUCAUCACAGUAACAACGCAUCUGAAUCACUACAGCAGUGUGGAUGCAUGAUGGUCAAAGCCAGUAACAACGAAAAGGGCUUUCCUCCUUUAAGAACGACUUUCCGUAUUUAU